rnacentral:lncRNA from 1 species
GGAAAUGAGAUUUCAUAUUGAUGCAUGUUAACAUAUUAUAGAAAUGCUAGAUAAAUGCAUGUGAUUAAUGCUUUGAAUGCAUAAGAUAAAGGGCAUAUGAAUGUUAACAUUAUAAGAACAUGAUAAGAGGAAUGCAUGAUGACUUAGUGUAAAUAGUGCUAGAUGAAUGCAUUGAGUAAUGUUAAAGUUUACAUGGUAAGCAUGCAUGGGGAUAAUGCUAAGUAAUGGUAUGAUAAGCAUGAUGUAGAAAUAAUAAAUGCAAGCAUGUGGCUAAUGCUAAGAUAUACUUGAUGAUCAUGUUGUAGAGAUACUAAUGUUAAGAAAUGGAAAUGUGCAUAUGGACAAUCUAUAUACAUUAGAUCGAGUGGCAUUAAACCUAGAGUCAUGGACAUAGGUUGGACAUGGAGGAUAUGAAUCUAGUGCCAAAGAACAUAGGUUGGACAUCAAGUGGCAUUAAACCUAGUGUAUUGAACAUAGGUUGAACAAGUAUAGUGUGAACCUAGUGUCAUGAACCUAGCAAACACUUGUGGCAUUGAGCAUAUAUAUUUGUAUCAUUCAUACAUAAUAGGGCUAAGUACAUGUGAACCUUGGUUACUUUCAAUGACAUGUUUCUAACGUAGUUGAACAUAGAGAAAGGUAGAACCAUAAUGGACAUGUAUGUUAGAACCCUAUUAUUGUGUGAAUGUGAGAGUUGGACUUGGACAUUAGUAAACAAAGGCGACAUUGACAAUAGAGACAUUGAUAUGCAUAGAGGAUAUAGUUGUUAAACAUAGUUUAACCAAGAGUGGCAUUGGACCAAUUGACAUAGAGUAGCAUGAUUAAAUAGGUAGAAACCUAUUGUGACAUUGGCAUUGUGACUAGUGGCUAUGAAUCCUCAAGUUGAGGAUUGAUCGAUACUCACGAUAAGUCUUGGCUUGAGGGAGGUAGCUCCCCCUCGGGCGGUGCGCUCCGGAGUUGGUCACCACUGGGCGUGGUAAAGUCCCCCCAGAAGACGGUCCCUAGGGAGGUUCGAGUCCCCCGUUAUUAAGGGAUUUUGGGUUGUGAGUCAUUGGGGUUAACAUGGUUAACCGGUAAGAUUGGGUCAAAGCCAAGUGAAUGUAUAGCAUUAUGUGUUACGGGUUUGGUAUCCCAGUUGAGAGGAUUUAGGGCUCAGGUGUAUGUGAGACGUCCAUCACCUCGAGCCUAAUUUUGGUGCGGUAUUCCGCAGUUGAUUGACUCGAGACCGAGUCGGGUGGUUAGCUUGGCUAGGGUAGAGGAAAACCUUAGAAGCAAAUAACCAAUGAUGUAAAGUGAUAAGAUGUAUAAAUUAUGAAAAAGCUAUGGAUAGCAUGAUACAAAGUAAAAUCAUUUAUUCUACUUGUAUAGUUGCAUGAUUCGCAUAUAGCAUGGCAUUAUUGUAUUCGUGAGGCAAAGCAUGGUUUUAUUAGUUGCAUAAUAAAGAUAUAUAUCUAUCUGUUUAUUGAACUAACUUGCAGUUGCCUCCCUUGGACCUAUUGGUCGAGCUUUUCCCUUGGGUGGCCGUACCCACU